rnacentral:lncRNA from 1 species
CCUGGCGCAGCCACCCGAGGGAGAUCGGCGGGAGUUCGCCCGGCCGGGAGGAGGCGGCGAGGUCGUGCGAGGCUCUGAACUGCCCCAGAAGUUUGCUGGCAGAAACUGUUCCCUUUUAUUGGCAAAGUCUUCGGGCUCUCCUCAGAGGAAUACCCCGUUGCCUAAGAUGAGUGGCUGUAGGAAGCGGUGUAAGCGGGAAAUAAUGAAAUUUGCCCAGUACCUUCUCAGGCUAAUCACAGGUUCUCUUCACACAGGAAGUUUGUUUUAUUUGAUAAGGAAAAGAAAAUCUGAGGGUCAGCUGUGGCAGUAUUUCAGCCUUUCUGAUAUUUACUUGGUUAGCAGAUAAAGACCAACAGGAUUCAUCUCCUGGGAGCCUUUGAGAAUAGAACCCUGAAUAAACUGGAGAAGUGAAGUCUCUCCCA